UACGUAGGGAGCGAGCGUUGUCCGGAAUUAUUGGGCGUAAAGAGCUUGUAGGCGGUUUGUCGCGUCUGCUGUGAAAAUCCGGGGCUCAACCCCGGACUUGCAGUGGGUACGGGCAGACUAGAGUGCGGUAGGGGAGAAUGGAAUUCCUGGUGUAGCGGUGGAAUGCGCAGAUAUCAGGAGGAACACCGGUGGCGAAGGCGGGUCUCUGGGCCGAUACUGACGCUGAGGAGCGAAAGCGUGGGGAGCGAACAGG
rnacentral:rRNA from 1 species